CAGAGUAAGAGGCUAGCUAAGACGAAGUGGGACACUGAGAGGACUGAGGAGAGUCGACAGGAGGACAGGGAGAUGCAGCGUAAGGAGACCUGCUUAGAUAAGACCGCCUCCCCCUGAAGGGAACAGAAGAGCCUACAGAGUCUGACACUCAGAAGCGCUUAUUCCCUCGGCUUGUCCAAAGAGGCUGGGGCAUGCUCUAAAUUCUGCAGGGUUUGCAGGCAAGUUGCAAGUUUUUGCACACGCCAUUAUUUUAUUUUUUCUUAUUUUGAAAGGGGAAAUAAUUGAAAUAAAGCCUUUUUUUGGACGUAUUACAAGAAUGUCUCAUCUGUAAUCUGAUGCCUUUUGAAGGUUUUUCCAUCUUUAGUAGAACGUUUCUCCUGGGGACCCAAACUUUUGCUCCCCACUGUAACUAUGUUGUCUUUUUCUGGAAUCAUUCAAAUUUGAGGGCACAGGUAUUCUAGCUGUAUCAGAGUGGGUAUUCUCCUUUCUAAAGCGUUGUUUAAUUGGUAACUUUCUUGGGGUUUACUCUUUUUUUUUUUUAUAUCAACCGCUGUAUCGUACCAACUCUCUCAGGUUGAUUUGGCCUUUUUUCUUUUCUUUCCUUGUGACCUAUUUCUCUCAUUUCUCUGGAGCCAACAGUUCCCUCUGAAUGCUUCAGCAGCAUUUUUGUUAUUAGACCUCCUGCUUUUGAGAUUUCCAACACUACAGAUGAAGACAUUUGGGAGAGAAAUGUUUGUCAUUCUUGGUACCUCUCUGUAUUUAGUGUUAGCAAAGUUACUGGAAAGUAACCAGUAACUAGUAAUCUCCCAGUGGGAGACGUUUAUGAUGGCAUUUGAUGAAAAUGCAGCUGAACUGAGAAAGAGAAGAGAAAGGCUCCAUGAAGAGGAAUUAUGGGUAAUAUGGUAGAAGGCUACCAUUGAAAGAGGCUUAACCUUGAAUCUUACUGUGUAGGUUCUUGCCUUUUUUCUUUUCUUUAAUAUCUUUUUUGGAAGAUUGUUACAGAUUUCUAAGCCAGUGUUUUUCAACCAGUGUGCCGUGGGAGAUGGUCAAGUGCGCCGUGG